rnacentral:rRNA from 1 species
AGCAAUAGCUAGUUGCAUCAUAGUAGAUAUGAUGCAAGAUCGACUAUGUUGAAUAAAAUUCUAGGUAGAAUUAUGAUAAUGACAUUGUCUGCCUAUGUGUCUUGACCAAAUUACGUGCCAGCAGUCGCGGUAAUACGUAGAAGACUAGUGUUAUUCAUGUUUAAUCGGUUUAAAGGGUACCUAGACGGUAGAUCAAGCUUUCUAAUAAAGGAAAAGGACUAGUUUACUAGAGUUACUUAUGAGGGGGUAUUAAAGUACUGCUGGUGUAGAGAUGAAAUUCUGUCAUACCUCUUUUCAAAAGAAAAACCAUGGCACAGGUAUAGGCGAAGGCAUCCCCUUAUGUGAUAACUGACGUUGAGGGACGAAGGCUUUGUGUAGCGAACAGGAUUAGAUACCCCAGUAGUCGAAGCAGAAAAUGAUGAAUGUCAUAGAUUAGAUAUAUAAGUUUAUUCUAUAAAUGAAAGUGUAAGCAUUCCACCUCAUGAGUAAUUUGGCAACAUUGGAACUGAAAUCAUUAGACCGUUUCUGAAACCAGUAGUGAAGUAUGUUGUUUAAUUUGAUGUCCCGCAAAAAACCUUACCACAAUUUGAAUAUUUAUAUUGUUUAUUGUUUUAUUAUUAAUUUUCUUG